GUCAUAUGCUUUUUUCAAGGGCUAAGCCAUGCAUGUCUGAGAUCGCACGUUGACUUUGCUACUAAUCGGUCUGCGAAUGGCUCAUUACGACAGUUGCAACUUGCACGACAUUAUGCCACUGCGUGAGGUUCAUCUCAACUUCAGUUGGGAUACAUCGGUCUGCGGAAUCAGAGAAAAUGAUACGGAGCGUGAUCGUGACAUGCAAGAUACGACCUUUCUCCACGGUUGUGCCCAGAACGUUACUUGCCACAGCGUCUGUGUAAAACCAAAUCUAUGUGCAAAUGGAGAAGAGAAAUUGGCGUUGGUGUGCCCUUGUACGUGGUCCAUGAAAUCGCGAACGUUCCGUAUUAUCACAUUCCCUGUCGGUGUAGAAAGUGGGGAUAACCUCUUGAAACAGUCGGCCAAUACAUGUGGAAAACCGAUCUGUUAAAACGAUGGUUCGACCAAUCUCGUUUUGCGUAUCUCUCCGUGGGGUUCGCUCUUCGAGUAUUAUUCUGUUGGUUCGCAGUUGAUCGAUACAAAGGUUAUGCCUCAAUGUGUGCUCUGAAAAAGCCAGCUCGUGCGCAUCGUUGGUUGUGCAAUAUAGAGAAAUUUGAUCAUUAUUGCACACCAUUACGGGCCGAUGCGUCGAGCGUAUUCUGUGGUUUGGGAUUGUUGGACACGGAUUUGAAAAGCCGAUAAAUGUUGAAUCAGAUCAACACUGGAACCGUUUGUCGUUCAUUACGUUAUUCGACUGUCAUACAUGUGCUCGUGUUGUUCGGACCUUCUCAAGAGAAAGUGGCAUUUCCUCCUAAAGUGAGAAUGGCUUUGUUCCAAACGCGUUCGCUCGUUGAUUCUGUUCGAGCGUGUGUCUGUAUGACACGUGUUUGGCCAUCCCUCACUCUCUGUGUUCGGUCAGCUUGUCACGCAGAUGAGGUUUGAGCAAACGAAAAACCGAGCCGAACGGUUGAGUCACAGAAAGGUUGAAACCACGCGAUAGCAGUCAUCCUUCAGUCGUUUUUGCAAGGGAUAACAUGUGCAGAGUCGUAUGAGCAACUGCCCUAUCAGCCGUUGAUUAUGGUACAGAGAACCACGAUGGCAGUCACGGGUAACGCGGAAUGAGGGUUCGAUUCCGGAGAGGGAGCCUGAAAUAUGGCUACCACAACUAAGGUUGGCAGCAGGCGCGUAAAUUGCCCAAUCACAACGUUCUGGAUGAGGCAGCGACGAAACAUGGCACACUGUGUUGACCUUCUCGGUUGACCUGUGUGAAAUGGAUGAGAUCCUAAAUCAUGCAAUGAGCAUCAACUUGAGGACCAGUCUGGUGCCAGCACCCGCGGUAAUUCCAGCUCAAGUGGCGUACACUGAUGUUGUUGCUGUUAAAAAGCUCGUAGUUGACUGCCCAGGAUGGAGCUCCCUAGUUCGAUAUGUUCUGUCUGAUCCACAGCCGACCGGUUUGCGCUGCCUGUGUGGUAUAUUCUGUUACGCUGCACAACAGCCUUUCCUGAUGCUUGGUUCGGCGGGUCUUCUUCUCCAAUUCCUCUCUGUGAAGAAACGGUGAAGUGUGUUUCCCGAAGGACAGUCGUUCUACCAUCUUGCUCCAAUGUCCAUUAUGGCAGAUGUUGGGAUCAUGUUAUGGAAACGAAUUCUCUGAAAAACUUAUGUGUGAACUUCGUGUUUGCACAUGACCCGAUCCGUGCCGUCUUCUUAAACUCAACCGAUGUGCGUACAACGUUUUGAAUCAUAUACUGGAUUUGACAACUGAAAAGAGGGAUCGUCCGUGAAUCGUUACCGUGACCAAAUCAGAGUACUACAAGCAGUUGCGAUUUAACUCUCAUGGGGUUCCGAAUCGUGCGUUGACUGUAUGCUCAAGUGCGACAUGGCAAGGGAUCGUCCAAUUGGCAUCUUCAGGCUUUUCUGUUUUGCAAUGCCUGAUUCAUUGUUCUGGCAGUCUUUGUGAACCACUUCUGGAGAAUACGGGGUACGGCCGAGAAGGAACAUGAACCGAAGUAUAAUCGCUUUGUGCGUUUCUUCCUUCCGCUCCAAUUUGUUGGAGUGGUGUACGCCCUUAACCUUUUAUCCUUGUGCUGACCGAGGCUGUUGUAUGACGUGGGUACUCAUACGCGAGCGGUGAAAUGUUUAGACCGUAUGAGGACCACCAGAGGCUAACGCGCGCGUCAACUUCAUGCCUGCCAAUCAAGAACGAGAGUGUGGGGAUCGAAGAUGAUCAGAUACCGUCAUAGUCCACUGCUGUAAACGAUGCAAACUGGGAAACGGAUAUGCGUUCCUCCGGGAAUGUCGUGUUCGGUUCUUCCCACCCCUGUGAACGAGAAAUCCAAGUGUAUGGGUUCAGGGGGGACUAUCGUCGCAAGGCUGAAACUUAAAGGAAUUGACGGAGUGGCACCACAAGGCGUGGAGUGUGCGGCUUAAUUUGACUCAACACGGGGAACGUUACCAGAUCAGAUCGAGAAUGGGGAUCGACAGGUUGAAGUACUUUCAUGAAUUCCGCAGAAGUGGUGCAUGGUCGUUUCUGGUUGGUGAAGUGAUUUGUCUGGUUGAUUCCGAUAACGAACGAGGUCUUCCUCCUACAGUAGACCACAGAUGGAUCUCGUUGUAGGGAAAUGCGCAUUCGGAUCUCCUGGUGCAACUUGGCUUCGUGCUUCAGGUUGUACUACCGGAUGAGAUGCAGCCCGAGAGCUCAGUGCAAAAGCCAAUGCUUCUCCAUGAGAGCGGGCCCUUACUUUAUUGUUUAAGAGUCCGCAGACGGGAGCCGACAGCAGGUCUGUGAUGCCCUUAGAUGCUCUGGACUGCACGCGCACGACACUGGCGUUAUCCACGUGUAUUGGCCGUUAUACAAUGAAUUUGUUUGAGGUGUGUUAUGAUUCGAUGAGGUGUUUCGCUUGUUGGCUGCGAAGUCAGGUUUAAAAGGCAGUGAUUGGUUUUUGCAAAAGGAAUGUGUCUGAUGGAUAUGACGAACCGGUUCUGAGGCUGGAAUGGGUAAUCCCAUGAAUCUAUGUCGUGAUGGGGCUCGGUGCUUGCAACUGUUUACCUUCAAAGAGGAAUGCCUAGUACGAACAAGUCAUCAGCUUGUGCGGAAUGAGUCUCUGCCAUUUGUACACACCGCCCGUCGUUGCUACCGAUGAUGACGUGAUAAAGACCAGAAGAGAUUCUACAACUGGCAUUUCAGCUCAUGUGCAAAUCUGUCCAAUGUUAUUUCGUUCGAGGAAGCAAAAGUCGUAACAAGGUAGCUGUAGGUGA
rnacentral:rRNA from 1 species